rnacentral:rRNA from 1 species
AUUGAACGCUGGCGGCAGGCCUAACACAUGCAAGUCGAGCGGAGCGGCGGACGGGUGAGUAAUGCCUAGGAAUCUGCCUGGUAGUGGGGGAUAACGUCCGGAAACGGGCGCUAAUACCGCAUACUAUCAGAUGAGCCUAGGUCGGAUUGGCUAGUGGGUGGGGUAGAGGCCUACCAAGGCGACGAUCCGUAACUGGUCUGAGAGGAUGAUCAGUCACACGGGAACUGAGACACGGUCCAGACUCCUAGGGGAGGCAGCAGUGGGGAAUAUUGGACAAUGGGCGAAAGCCUGAUGCAGCCAUGCCGCGUGUGUGAAGAAGGCCUUCGGGUUGUAAAGCACUUUCAGCGGGGAGGCGUUACCCGCAGAAGAAGCACCGGCUAACUUCGUGCCAGCAGCGCGGUAAUAC